GAAAUAUUAGUGUAAAAAAAAGCUGCUAACUUUUUUUUUAAUGGUUUAACUCCAUUUAUAUUUCU
rnacentral:tRNA from 1 species